rnacentral:rRNA from 1 species
AACACCAGUGGCGAAGGCGGCUUUCUGGCAUGUUACUGACGCUGAGGAACGAAAGCUAGGGGAGCGAACGGGAUUAGAUACCCCGGUAGUCCUAGCCGUAAACGAUGGGCACUAGGUGUGGGAGGUAUCGACCCCUUCCGUGCCGCAGUUAACGCAUUAAGUGCCCCGCCUGGGGAGUACGGCCUCAAGGUUGAAACUCAAAGGAAUUGACGGGGCCCCGCACAAGCAGCGAGGCAUGUGGUUUAAUUCGAUGCUACACGAAGAACCUUACCUGGGCUUGACAUGUAUGAGAAAGCUGGAAGAAACUCUGGCCCUCUUGUGGAGCAAUCCACGAGACCCAUACACAGGUGCUGCAUGGUUGUCGUCAGCUCGUGUCGUGAGAUGUACGGUUAAGUCCGUGAACGAGCGCAACCCCUGCCCUUAGUUGCUAAUAUGCGAAAGCAUAUGCACUCUAAGGGGACCGCCAGCGGAAAGCUGGAGGAAGGUGGGGAUGACGUCAAAUCCUCAUGGCCUUUAUGUCCAGGGCUACACACAUGCGACAAUGGUCGAGACAACGCGUUGCAAACCAGUAAUGGUAAGCUAAUCGCAUAAAAUCGACCUCAGUACGGAUUGAGGGUUGCAAUUCACCCUCAUGAAGCUGGAGUUGCUAGUAACCGCAGGUCAGCUAUACUGCGAUGAAUACGUUCCCGGGGCUUGUACACACCGCCCGUCACACCACCCGAGUUGCGUGUACCCGAAGUGGCUCUGUGAGUCACGAAGGUGUGCGUGAUGAGGAGGGUGAAGUCGUAACAAGGUAGGUGUACGAGAACGUGCGCCUG